CAUUUACGGAGAGUUUGAUCCUGGCUCAGGACGAACGCUGGCGGCGUGCUUAACACAUGCAAGUCGAACGAUGAUGGAGAGCUUGCUCUUCGGAUUAGUGG
rnacentral:rRNA from 2 species